rnacentral:rRNA from 1 species
AUACGGAGGAUGCAAGCGUUAUCCGGAUUUAUUAGGUUUAAAGGGUGCGUAGGUGGGCGUUUAAGUCAGUGGUUAAAGCCAUUAGCUUAACUAAUGUAUGCCAUUGAUACUGGAUGUCUUGAAUGUGGUAGAGGUAGGCGGAAUGUGUUGUGUAGCGGUGAAAUGCUUAGAUAUAACACAGAACACCGAUUGCGAAGGCAGCUUACUAUUCCAUUAUUGACGCUGAUGCACGAAAGCGUGGGGAUCAAACAGGAUUAGAUACCCUGGUAGUCCACGCUGUAAACUAUGAUCACUCGUUUUAGGCGAUAUAUAGUCAGAGACUGAGCGAAAGCAUUAAGUGAUCCACCUGGGGAGUACGUUCGCAAGAAUGAA